rnacentral:rRNA from 2 species
UAGGGAAUCUUCGGCAAUGGACGAAAGUCUGACCGAGCAACGCCGCGUGAGUGAAGAAGGUUUUCGGAUCGUAAAACUCUGUUGUUAGAGAAGAACAAGGACGUUAGUAACUGAACGUCCCCUGACGGUAUCUAACCAGAAAGCCACGGCUAACUACGUGCCAGCAGCCGCGGUAAUACGUAGGUGGCAAGCGUUGUCCGGAUUUAUUGGGCGUAAAGCGAGCGCAGGCGGUUUCUUAAGUCUGCUGUGAAAGCCCCCGGCUCAACCGGGGAGGGUCAUUGGAAACUGGGAGACUUGAGUGCAGAAGAGGAGAGUGGAAUUCCAUGUGUAGCGGUGAAAUGCGUAGAUAUAUGGAGGAACACCAGUGGCGAAGGCGGCUCUCUGGUCUGUAACUGACGCUGAGGCUCGAAAGCGUGGGGAGCAAACAGG